UACGUAGGGGGCUAGCGUUGUCCGGAUUUAUUGGGCGUAAAGAGCGUGUAGGCGGCCAGGUAGGUCUGCUGUGAAAACUCGAGGCUCAACCUCGAGAUGUCGGCGGAAACCAUCUGGCUAGAGUCCGGAAGAGGCGAGUGGAACUCCUGGUGUAGCGGUGGAAUGCGCAGAUAUCAGGAAGAACACCAACGGCGAAGGCAGCUCGCUAGGACGGUACUGACGCUGAGACGCGAAAGCGUGGGAGCGAACGG
rnacentral:rRNA from 1 species